AACAAACAAAUAUUUACUUAAUCUUUAUCCACCAAUCAACUUUAAUGAUUACACAACUUCAAGUUUCUUGUAUUCUUUUCCUUCAAUGACCCAAAUCCACACAGCUUCGGUGACUUUUGAUUCCAAUGGCAUCAUGGAUGAAAAGGUUUAUCAUUUUGCUUUUGAACUUGGAGGGAAAAUAUCUCCCAAUGGAUGAUCCUACUCGAUUUCGGCGAUGACAUUAACGAUGUUCUCCGGUAACAUCAUGUGGCUCCAAGACCAAAUCCCUGCCUCCAAAUAAAUCUUCAAUUCCAAUCAUUCCUCCUCCAUUUUGAAAAAAAAAAA
rnacentral:lncRNA from 1 species